GAUGAACGCUGGCGGCGUGCCUAAUACAUGCAAGUCGAGCGAACAGACGAGGAGCUUGCUCCUCUGACGUUAGCGGCGGACGGGUGAGUAACACGUGGAUAACCUACCUAUAAGACUGGGAUAACUUCGGGAAACCGGAGCUAAUACCGGAUAAUAUAUUGAACCGCAUGGUUCAAUAGUGAAAGACGGUUUUGCUGUCACUUAUAGAUGGAUCCGCGCCGCAUUAGCUAGUUGGUAAGGUAACGGCUUACCAAGGCAACGAUGCGUAGCCGACCUGAGAGGGGGAUCGGCCACACGGGAACUGAGACACGGUCCAGACUCCUACGGGAGGCAGCAGUAGGGAAUCUGCCGCAAUGGGCGAAAGCCUGACGGAGCAACGCCGCGUGAAUGAUGAAGGUCUUCGGAUCGUAAAACUCUGUUAUUAGGGAAGAACAAAUGUGUAAGUAACUAUGCACGUCUUGACGGUACCUAAUCAGAAAGCCACGGCUAACUACGUG
rnacentral:rRNA from 1 species